GUGGGUGUAGCUCAGGCGGUAGAGCACUGGGUUGUGGUCCCAGGAGUCGCGGGUUCGAAUCCCGUCACUCACCCCG
rnacentral:tRNA from 3 species